ensembl:lncRNA
UGACCUGACUGCCCGGUGGCCUGAGAAUCCUGCAGGAUGGCCCAAGACUCCACCUCACACAGACACGCGUGCUCCACAGGACCAGUCUGGGUUAGAGCAGUGCCAGCCCUGACUGCUGCCACGUCUGCGUGCGUCUUCCUCCGGGCCUCCAGACAUCACCCUCGGGAAGUGCCAUGACGGUGGGCUUGCAUUUUCAAGCAGUAAUUGGCUAUCAAGUCCCCUGUGAAUCUGUUUCGAGAAUAAAAGAAUCUUAAAAAGCCAAGGUUCAUCCUGGGAGCUGGAGUCUUUGUCUCGCCUCCUGCCCCCGUUUUGGAGAGUGUUCCCGUCCGCGUCGUCCUCUGUGGGAAAUGGAUUGUUAUCAAGAGGGCAGGCACUGGAGAGGCCCUUCAAGGGCAGCAGACAAAACACAGCCUUUCAGGGUGAGAAAGAGGAUUUAUGGGUGAAACGCAGCUAUUCCAAGGCUCCUCAAUAAAGAUAUACAACCUGAACAAAAGGACUUGGAGGACUUCCUGAAGCUGAGGAUCCUCUUCAUCAGUUCUCACAACCCCUCGGGCAGAAUCUCGCCCCUCCUCCACUCUCCGCCACUGGAACGCCUUGCAGUGGAUCAGGUGCCCCAGAAGAGCUGGAGUCAGGAUGCUCAUGCAAACAUUUCACUGGGGAACUUCUCGGUGGCAGCACGGUGGGGCAGGAGAGACACUCAGCAGCCUUGUGAUUCAGGCUCAAGCCUCAGCUCAGCCCAAUUCCAUGGGGAACUCAGGGGGAGCUGGCCUUUUCUACCACUAUCAAUCAGACAUUGGCCUUUUGCAGCAGGGUAUCCCCUCUUGGGGGAAGGGGGUGACCUCCCAAGCACUUCCAGGUGAGGCAACUCCUUUUGCCGGAGGACAGCACUCUGCAGAAGGAUGCGGCUGGGAGCCGUCAGCAGACCACUCCUCCAGCAGCUGGGGCUGGGCACGUCCGGGGAAGAGGAGAGGGGCUCAUGGCAUCAUUACAGCUCCUCUCCCCCGGAACCUCUACUUCCAUCUCUUCUCGCUGGCCUGCUUUGGGAUAGCUUCCUCAGAGCUGUCUUCCAGUUUGCUAGCAAUGUUUUCUGUUAUUCUAACAUGCUUUUUGUCUUCCCCACUGAAUUUUUAAUUUUAAUGACUUCACUCUGCGUGUCUGAAAGUUUUAUGUGGUUCUUUCAAAAAUUCAUCUUGUCUUGUUCUUUUGUUACUUAUUCAAUUCUUCCUCAAUUUCCUUAGUGAUCUCUCAUACAUGUGUGUUAAACUCUCCUCUCUGACCGCAGUUCCUCGGUGGAAGUACGAUCUUUCUGUCUAUUAUCCUGCUGACUGUUGUCCAUGGUUGAACUAGUCCCUUUGGGUUUUGUAAUUUUAGAUUGUGAGCUCAUUUCGAUGAGGCUUGGUCUGUGGGUUGCAGCGUUUCCCUGGCUAGAGCUGUCAGCUUCUACCAGGCACUCCUGAGAGUACCCCAUCCCUGGACUAGUUUUUAUGUGACCUUUUGGGCCUGAGUUCCCAGAUCCUGAAGGUGGUGUGAAUUCAAACCUGAAAGGGGAAGUCCUGUGGCAAGUUCCCAGGGGAGCCCUUUCCCUAUUGAGAGCCAAGGUGAAAAGAGAUACUCUUCCUGGUCUGUUCCAGUGGGCAGAUUUCUUCCGAGUCUGUCCUUUCACCCAGGAUGCAGAGCUUGAAAACCCCAGGUCCGUACAAGGACCUCACACCCGACUCCACAGCUGGGCAUCAAGACCCAAGCCCUGGUUAGAGCACCCAGCAAAGGGUCCUCCUGACGAAGACAUCACUGAGGAGACUGCUCAUCCACGUCUCCUUCUUCACAGCUGCCCUCUGGGAUUCCCCUUACUUUCUCGUGCACUUGGCUCUGGGUUUUUAAAAGCCUUAUCUUCGAGACAGCCUUCCUAUGUUUCCUGCAAGGAGACUCUUUCCAGGCUGUCUGAGUCCUGCUCUCUGCCCUUUCCUCCACUGCCGAAAUUAAACUGCAAGGAACAACAUCUUUCCAUGGCCUUCCACAUCUCCAGUGCUUUCUGCCCCUAACCCGAGCCCGCCCGUCGAUGCAGUUCACAAAACCCCCAGUUCCUCUGCUCGGCCCUUCUUCUAGCUCUCCCCACUUCCUGUCCCAUCCAGCUGGACCCCAUGGUGAAUCACACCCCCAGUGUGGCCAGCACCCAGGGUCCCCAUUCUCUGGCUCUUCAUCCCAGCCACCGACCCUUCAUCCGUCCAACUGUGCACCUUCUUUGCAUGUAGCUUCUGAGUUAACAGAACAAACAAAGGGCCUGCUGCCAUCAAAUACACACACUACCUGAGGCUUCAGCCAGGCCCUUGACACCACUUGGCUAUGCCUUCCAGCCCCCUUUCCAGCACCCACUCAGGCUGCUUCCGACACACGGGGCUCGAAGCAGGCAUGAGUGCUGCUGCAUGCUGCUACUAUUGCCAGCCUGCACUGGUUCCUCUCUCUCAGCUGUGACCUUAUCUACUAUACAAUCAAGAUGCCAUCCCCAGCCUCCCACCCCCACACCUAGAAACAUGUCUCUAUCCUUGUACCAUAAAGAAGGCUGAGUACUGAAGAACUGAUGCUUUUGAAUUGUGGUACUGGGGAAGACUCUCGAGUGUCCCUCGAACAGCAAUCAAUCCUAAAGGAAAUCAACCCUGAAUAUUUGUUGAAAUGACUGAUGCUGAAGUUGAAACUCUAGUACUUUGGCCCCCUGAUGCGAAGAGCUGACUCAUUGGAAAAGAUCCUGAUGCUGGGAAGGAUUGAAGGCAGGAGGAGAAGGGGACGGCAGAGGAUGAGAUGGUUGCAUGGCAUCCCUGACUCAAUGGACACGAGUUUGAGCAAGCUCCAGGAGACAGUGGAGGACAGAGGGGCCUGGGUGUGCUGCAGUCCAUGGGGUCGCAGAGUCAGACAUGACUGAGUGACUGAACAACAACAACAAAUCCAUUCACACCCUUUCCUCUUUGUCUUUGGAGUCUCCUUCUGGUCAAGGCUUUUCCUGCCCGGGCUUUUUGGUCCUUCUCUUUGACCAGAGAAGAGGGGCCCCUGACCUGGACUCACACUCUCCAAGACCCCCUCUGCCCCUCCUCCAGCGGGUCUUACCCCCAGAGUGGGAAGUGUGUGGGGCGGGGUGCUGGUUCCCACCUGGGGCCCAGGCUCCCCGUUCCAGGUCUGGUUCUAGUAAGUAGAGCCUCAGAUUCGCCCUCCAAAUGGCAGAACCCAUUCCUGCAGCCACGCAGGAGCCUCUUCUGCAAGGGAGCACUCGCCCCUGUCCUGCCCUCAGCAGAUAGUUCUGGCCAGUGGGACAACACAGCCUGGCAUCGACCCUCCCUACUUCCCAGCCCCCUGUCCCCAGCCCCUCUUUCCAUCACCCCAGACCCCUGGGAUCAUGGCUCCAAGCAGCUGCUGGUGCUCAAGCCCUGUGUUAGGCUCUGCUCUGGGGGACCUAGGCUAAGACCCUCAGCAGUUAAACCCCUCCAAAUGCCCUCAUGCUCAAAUGGAUUUUCUCAUCCCCCAUUCACUCACCUGCAAUGGCAUCUCACGAGAACCCCUUCCAGGCGCCCCUACCUCCGGCCUCUGGGUCCCCUUCUUCCUCCUGCUGUUUACAUGCAACCCUCCUGCCCACCCCCUCCUGAGCCUCCCUCCUCCUAUGACUGCACCUGCCUCCACACUGCCGACCUCCAGAUUGUAUCUCAAAACCUGAGACGGCUGCAGACAAACACGGAAGAUGGGGUAGCCCUCUCUGGCAGGUGUCGAUGGGAGGGACCUGGCGAGGUCUCCUCCACCCAACAACGAUCAGAGCCCAACGCCUGGCUGGGAGGAGCCCAGCGGCCUGGCACACUGUCAGGCCGCAGAGAGAGGUGCCUGGAAGAGACGGAGUCCUCAGGGCUGGGGGACGAAACUUGAGCCCACCUCCUAAGACCCCUGCACACACCACCCUCUCCAACUUGGCAGCUUCUCCCACCUGUCCUGCAGUCCUGCGCACCACUGACUGGCCUGACAGAGUCUCUCAGCUACUUGCCCCACAUGUUUCUGGGUUAAUUUCAUGUCCUUUUGGAGAAUCUUUUUUUUUUUUUUUACAUGGAAGUAAUCCAUGUGCACUGGAGAAUUCAGAAAGGCUAGGAUGAGCAAAUGGAGAGCAGCACCUUGUGUGAAGCAAGCCCUGGAACUCUGAUGGAUGUCUUCCUGUCUCCUCCGUGUCUACACACGCUCGUGUUUAUAAAACCUGUACUGAGCUGUGAUGAUGUUUAAAGCUCUUCCUUGUCACUUAGAACUAUCGUGUGAAUUUCUUUCCAUGGUAUUAAGUCCCCUAUUUUUGUAAACUUGGAGACAUACAGAUAUCCAUAUAUCUUCCAAUCACUGUUGGAUGCUUGUAGGUAAGUCUUUAUCAACAUCCACAUUUAUUGUGUUAGAAUGAAGCUCUAGAGGUAGGGGGUCACAAGAUGAAAAUAUGCAAAACGUUCCGGUAAAAUAACUAGUGUGUGUCUAGUUAAGUACCGGUCUGAAGGUUUCUGCCCGUUGACACCUGCUGUCAAGGUGUAACAGUGCCCACUUCUUGGCAUUUGGUGUCAUAAAACAGGUAGAUAGGGCACCAGACUUCUCUUAUUGUUAGGAAGUGGGGUGUUUCAUCAUGUUCACAGGGCAUUUCUCCCUUUGUGCUCCCUCUUCAUGUCCCAGCCCGCCCCACUCUUGGAAUGUUCAUCUUUGUCUCUCUUCUUGAAUGCAGCGUACCUGUGAAGGAGACCAGGCUUUCCUGAGACACGAUGACCUUCCCCAGUCAUUCGUCUGUUAAGCUAAUUUGUCUUUUUACGCACCGGGAGUCCCCUCUCCUCCCCUUACUCCAGCCCCGUAUCGGGGCCGUACUGCCUUCAACGCUCUUCCUUUUGAGGUUAAGAUCUCUGUGACGGGCACAGCUCUUAAAUCUCAAGAGUUUUGCUCAGUGUUCACCCCGUGUGACUCCCAGCCCAGUAAUGUGUCUCCACCGCUUCAGAGAGUGCUCUUAUGCCUGGUUCUCAGCUGGUCCCCUGUCUGCCCCACCACAGAACCAGGCUCCUGACUGCCAGCCUCAUAAACAAGGAGUGGUUCCCGAAGUUCAUGUUAAUGGAGUCAUGUAGUAUCUAAUCUUCCGAUCAGAUGUUUUUUUACCACGUUUUUGACAUCCAUCUAUCUGUGAUCUGUGUCAGUAGUUCAUUCUUUUUGUUACUGAGUAAUAUUCCCUUGCAGGAAUAUGCCCCAAUUGAGACUUUAUCUAGUUCCUUGCCGAUGAUACCCCAAAUUAUAAAUGUAACAUAGUCAAAUUUAUCAACAUCUCCCUUUACAACUGUUGGCAGUGUCCUAUUCUGUAACCCUAGAGAUAUGUCAACUAACAACUUUUUCUUAAUACUUCUAUGGCCUUUAUUUUUUAACACUUAAAUCUUUACUCCAUCUAAUAAGGUAGGAAUUCAACUUCAUUCAUUUCUCUCUGAAUGAUUGACAAGGGUCCUACCACACCGUUUUCUCACUGAUUUGAAAAGCUGCCUUUAUUAUAUUUUAAAUCCUUACAAGAGUGAUGUUCAAAAUAUUUAGAAAUUGGUACUUGCACAGAGCACACAUACUGGCUGGAUAUCUGAUAGAGUUCUUCCACUUGCUUGGGGCUGUUUCUUUUACUUUCUAUUAUUUUCCAUCGAUCUCAGCCAGGACCGAGCAAUUGUCAUUAUGGAGCCUGGAUAAUACAUUUUGUUUUCUGGGAGCAGUUUCUCUCUGAUUUCUCUCCUUUUGGACUGUUCUCAAAUGUUUAUCCUUCCAGCUGAACUAGUCAACCAUUCUGUCCACUCCCACGAAGUUCCAUUGGGAUUUCAUGUUACCUUUAGGUAUUGAAAAUGUUCUUUUGCUAACGUAGAUUGGGAAAUUUCCAUUGUGUUUUUCUAAUGCAUAAAAAGGGCUUAGCACAAUGGUUGCCGCAUGGCAAAUAUUCAAUAAAUAUUAACAUAUAUAUCAGUUUUUUAUCCCCCCUGCAUGGGUCACAGCCUUAUCCUGGCGCAGGGGCUUGCGUAACUCCAUGAAGCUCCUAGUUCUGCUGUGCAGGGUCACCAGAGAUGGACGGGUCUCAGUGAAGAGUUCUGACAAAACGUGCUCCACUAGAGGAGGAAAUGGAAAAACCACUCCGGUAUUUUUACUGAGAGAACCCCAUGAACAGGAUGAAAAGGCAAAAAGAUACGACACCAGAAGAUGAGCCUCCUGGGUUGGAACACGUCCAAUAUACUACUGGGGAAGAUCUUUAUAACUGACCACCUUGCUGUACUAAUUCUAGAUUUUUAACUUAAUUUUUUCUGAGUCUUUGGUGGCAUCUUUAUUUUUGAGCAAAGGACUUUAAUUAACACCGGGAUUUGUGUUCUUCGAGUUGGGACCCUGUGCAACGCCUUUGUAGGAAGCCUCAUGAGGACGGCACUUGGCAUCCUGGCCAUCCCUCCGCCUUGAACCUCAGCCCCAGCCUUAGAGACUCCUCUCAUAGUGUGCAGACCUGCGGUAUUGAGCUCUUGCUACCUGCUGUGAACAGGUCUCCUUCGGCCAGACGGUGUUUCAGAGAUCUGUGGACAGACACAGCUGCCCAGGCCCCCACAUUCCUCUUCUGCAGAAGAGGGAAUUGGGCCUCAUCCUUGCCAGGCCCUCACUCACCUGGAGGAGCUCUUGGGACUCCCAGGAGGCCUAAGUGGCAGAGAAAGGAGCCUACUCAUUUCUGGGCUGGGAUUCUACCUUUUAACGAGUCUGGCUUAGAAUCCACAUCCCAGAACCCUUGGUGGGACUUUUCCUUGUGGCCCGUCUCUCUCGUUAUGCACUUAAAUGAGUUUUACUAGACAUAUAGGCAGCAUUUUCUCCUGACUGUUGUAC